UACGGGAGGCAGCAGUGGGGAAUAUUGCACAAUGGGCGCAAGCCUGAUGCAGCCAUGCCGCGUGUAUGAAGAAGGCCUUCGGGUUGUAAAGUACUUUCAGUCGUGAGGAAGGUGUUAAGGUUAAUAACCUUAGCAAUUGACGUUAGCGACAGAAGAAGCACCGGCUAACUCCGUGCCAGCAGCCGCGGUAAUACGGAGGGUGCGAGCGUUAAUCGGAAUUACUGGGCGUAAAGGGCACGCAGGCGGUUAAUUAAGUUGGAUGUGAAAUCCCCGGGCUUAACCUGGGAAUGGCAUUCAAGACUGGUUAGCUAGAGUCUUGUAGAGGGGGUUAGAAUUCCAUGUGUAGCGGUGAAAUGCGUAGAGAUGUGGAGGAAUACCGGUGCGAAGGCGGCCCCUGGACAAGACUGACGCUCAUGUGCGAAAGCGUGGGGAGCAAAC
rnacentral:rRNA from 1 species